rnacentral:lncRNA from 1 species
AGAAGUAUGACACUCACAGUGAAAGCACAAAACAUCAAGCCAACAGUUCAGGACUAGUCAUUCAAAUGGACUAAAGUAGUAUGAUGCCUCUGGCUUCCCUCUAUCACACGUCUUCUUUUCGAGUAAAGGUUUUUCAUAAAUGUGAGCGUGGAAGAAGAAACCAGUUAAAUAUGGAACUUCACACCAGGACACAAAAGGACUUCAAACUUUUAGAUUCCACAAGUAUGUGAAAAGAUGCAGUAUUUGUCUUUCUGUGCAUGGUUUACUUCACUUAUCAUCAUGUCCCUCAGGUUCAUCCACGUUGUUGCAAAUGACAGGAUUUCAUUCAUUUUUAAGACUGAAUAGUACUCCAUUAUGCAAAUAUACCAGAUUUUCAUUGUCUAUUCGUUCACUGAUGAACACGGGUUAAUCCUAUAUGUUGGCUAUUGUGAAUAAAGCUGCAAUGAAUAUGAGAGUACAGAUAUAUUCUUGACAUAUUAAUUUUAUUUUAUUUGGCAAUAUACCCAAUAGUAGCUAGAUCAUAUCAGAGUUCUAUUUUUAAUUUUUGAGGAAACUUCAUACUGUUUUUCAUAAUAGUUAUUACUAAUUUACACUCAGUAUACAAGAGUUCCCUUUUCUCCACAUUCUUUCCAAAAUUUGUUUCCUUUUCCCUUUUUGAUAACAGCUACUCUAACUGGGGUGAAAUAAUAUCUCACUGUGGUUUUAAUUUUCAUUUAUCUGAUUAAUGAUUUUGAGCUUUUUAAAAUAAAUACUUGUUGGCAAUUUGUAUGUCAUCUUUUGAGAAGUGUCUAUUAAAAUUUGUUUGCCUAUUU